rnacentral:rRNA from 1 species
AGCGUUGAUUUAACCUAGUGGCGGACGGGUGAGUAACACGUGAGCAACCUACCUCUCAGUGGGGGAUACCGUUUGGAAACGAACGUUAAUACCGCAUAACGUAACGGGACCGCAUGAUUCUGUUACCAAAGAUUUAUCGCUGAGAGAUGGGCUCGCGUCUGAUUAGAUAGUUGGUGGGGUAACGGCCUACCAAGUCGACGAUCAGUAGCCGGACUGAGAGGUUGAUCGGCCACAUUGGGACUGAGACACGGCCCAGACUCCUACGGGAGGCAGCAGUGGGGGAUAUUGCGCAAUGGGGGAAACCCUGACGCAGCAACGCCGCGUGUGGGAAGAAGGUCUUCGGAUUGUAAACCAUUGUCUCCGGUGACGAUUAUGACGGUAGCCGAGGAGGAAGCUCCGGCUAACUACGUGCCAGCAGCCGCGGUAAUACGUAGGGAGCGAGCGUUGUCCGGAUUUACUGGGUGUAAAGGGUGCGUAGGCGGGACUGCAAGUCAGGCGUGAAAUCUACCGGCUUAACCGGUAAACUGCGCUUGAAACUGUAGUUCUUGAGUGAAGUAGAGGUUAGCGGAAUUCCCGGUGUAGCGGUGGAAUGCGUAGAUAUCGGGAGGAACACCAGUGGCGAAGGCGGCUAACUGGGCUUUUACUGACGCUGAGGCACGAAAGCAUGGGUAGCAAACAGGAUUAGAUACCCUGGUAGUCC